UCCCUGCACCUCGUCUGCACGGCCUCGGGCUUCACCUUCAGCAGCUACAACAUGGGUUGGGCCCGACAGGCUCCUGGGAAGGGGCUCGAGUACCUCAGAUAUAUUAGCAGCAGUGGUAGGAGCACAUACUACGCGCCGUCGGUCAAGAGCCACUUCACCAUCUCCCGGGACAACUCCCAGAGCACGGUCACGCUGCAGAUGAACAGCCUCAGGGCUGACGACACGGCCACCUACUACUGCGCGAAAA